rnacentral:tRNA from 1 species
GCCGGUGUAGCUCAGUUGGUAGAGCAGCUGACUUGUAAUCAGCAGGUCGGUGGUUCGAGUCCACUCGCCGGCUCCA